UACGGAGGGUGCGAGCGUUGUCCGGAAUUAUUGGGCGUAAAGAGCUCGUAGGCGGUCUGUCGCGUCGGUCGUGAAAACUUGGGGCUUAACCCUGAGCUUGCGGUCGAUACGGGCAUGACUGGAGUUCGGCAGGGGAGACUGGAAUUCCUGGUGUAGCGGUGAAAUGCGCAGAUAUCAGGAGGAACACCGGUGGCGAAGGCGGGUCUCUGGGCCGAUACUGACGCUGAGGAGCGAAAGCGUGGGGAGCGAACAGG
rnacentral:rRNA from 1 species